UACAGAGGUCUCAAGCGUUGUUCGGAUUCAUUGGGCGUAAAGGGUGCGUAGGCGGCGGGGCAAGUCUGAUGUGAAAUCCCGGGGCUCAACCCCGGAACUGCAUUGGAUACUGCUCUGCUUGAGCACUGGAGAGGAGACUGGAAUUUACGGUGUAGCAGUGAAAUGCGUAGAGAUCGUAAGGAGGACCAGUGGCGAAGGCGAGUCUCUGGACAGUUGCUGACGCUGAGGCACGAAGGCCAGGGGAGCAAACGGG
rnacentral:rRNA from 1 species